CACCCCUAAAGACCAAAAUGGGAAAGGAAAAGACACCCAUCAAUAUCGUUGUCAUUGGAUACAUUGAUUCAGGCAAGUCCACCACUACUGGCCAUCUGAUCUACAAAUGUGGUGGCAUCGACAAAAGAACCAUUGAGAAAUUCAAGAUUGAGACUGCUGAGAUGGGAAAGCUCCUUCAAGUAAGCCUGGGUCUUGGAUAAACUGAAAGCUGAGUAUGAAUGUGGUAUCACCAUUGAUAUCUCCCUGUGGAAAUUUGAGACCAGCAAGUACUAUGUCACUAUCAUUGAUACCCUGGGACACAGAGACUUCAUCAAAAAAAUGAUUACAGGCACAUGUCAGGUUGACUGUGCUGUCCUAAUUGUUGCUGCUGGUGUUGGUGAAUUCGAAGCUAGUAUCUCCAAGAAUGGGCAAACCCAUAAGCAUGCCCUUCUAGCUUACACACUGGGUAUAAAACAACUGAUUGUUGGUGCUAACAAAAUGGAUUCCACUGAGCCACCCAAUAGCCAGAAGCAAUAUGAAGAAAUUUUUAAGGGAUUCAGCACUUAGAUUAAGAAAAUUGGCUACAACCCUGACACAGUACCAUUUGUGCCAAUUUCUGGUUGGAAUGGUGACAACAUGCUGGAGCCAAGUGCUAACAUGCCUUGGUUCAAGGGAUGGAAAGUCACCUGUAAAGAUGGUAAUGCCAGUGGAACCACACUACUUAAAGCACUGAACUGCAUCCUGUCACCUGACACCAACUUGUCCAACUGACGAGCCCUUGCAUCUGCUUCUCCAGGAUGCCUACAAGAUUAGUGGUAUUGGCACUGUCCCUGUGGGCCAGGUGGAGACUGGUGUUCUCAAACCGGGCAUGGUGGUCACCUUUGCUCCAGUCCAUGUUACAACUUAAGUAAAGUCUGUUGAAAAGUACCAUGAAGUUUUGAGUGAAGGUCUUCCUGGGGACAACGUGAACUUCAGUGUCAAUAAUGUGUCUGUCAAAGAUGUUCACCAUGGCAACAUUGCUGGUGACAGUAAAAAUGAUCCAUCAAUGGAAGCAGUUGGCUUCACAACUCAGGUGAUUAUCCUGAACCAUCCAGGCCAAAUCAGUGCUGGCUAUGCCCCUGUACUGGACUGUCACACGGCUCACAUUGCAAGCAAGUUUGCAGAGCCAAAGGAAAAGACUGAUCACUGUUCUGGUAAGAAGCUGGAAGAUGGCCCAAAAUUCUUGAAGUCUGGUGACGCUGCCAUCGUUGAUAUAGUUCCUGGCAAGCCCAUGUUUAUGGAGAUCUCCUCUGGGUCAUUUUGCCAUUCAUGAUAUGAGGCAGACAGUUACUGUGGGUGUCAUCAAAGUAGUGGACAAGAAGGUUGUUGGAGCUGGCAAGGUCGCUAAGUCUGCCCGGAAAGCUCAGAAGGCUGAAUGA